rnacentral:rRNA from 1 species
UACGAAGGGUGCAAGCGUUGCUCGGAAUUAUUGGGCGUAAAGGGUUGGUAGGUGGUCUUGUUUGUCUAAGGUGAAAUCCCAUGGCUUAACUGUGGAAGUGCCUUAGAAACGGCAAGACUAGAGUCCUAGAGGGGUGUGUGGAAUUCCCGGUGUAGCGGUGAAAUGCGUAGAGAUCGGGGGGAACACCAGCGGCGAAGGCGGCAAACUGGAUAGGCGCUGACACUCAACAACGAAAGCGUGGGGAGCAAACAGG